rnacentral:rRNA from 1 species
UACGUAGGUGGCAAGCGUUGUCCGGAUUUAUUGGGUUUAAAGGGUGCGUAGGCGGUUCUUUAAGUCAGUGGUGAAAUCCGGCAGCUCAACUGUCGAUGUGCCAUUGAUACUGCGGAACUUGAGUACAGACGAGGUAGGCGGAAUUGACGGUGUAGCGGUGAAAUGCUUAGAUAUCGUCAAGAACACCGAUAGCGAAGGCAGCUUACUAGACUGUAACUGACGCUGAUGCACGAAAGUGUGGGGAUCAAACAGG